rnacentral:lncRNA from 1 species
CAAAGCACAGAGGGAUAAGUGGCCAGGAGGAGGGCACAGCUGAAAGAAGCACCAUUAUGAUACAGCUUCUGGUGAUAUGCCAGUCCUACAAACUAAAAUCUGCCUAUUUCAGGGCAGAUAUGCCCUGUUUUGCAAAAUUAUAGAAUCACAACUCUCCUCAGGCCCACCCAUCUUUUCUGCUUAUGGCUGAAGGAAGGUAUGAAUGGGCAACUAAGCUCAGAUUCUCAUGCUGUCAUCUUAGGAGAAUUUGUAAGUAAUCUGGACCCAGUCAAAUAUUUGACCUUGGAUGAGACACUCAACCUGCAUGUGGACCUGAGUCUGUCGUAUCUGGAGCUUCCCAAAAUCUGACAGUUUCCUUUUCUAUUAUGAUCCAUUUCUGUGUGUUUAUGCACUACUACCAUGUCAGCCGUGCUCAAGAACUCCCCCAGCUUCUGCAGAUCUCAGUCUGUUUCCCUGACUUCAGAGGACAUUUCUACUGUGAAUGGAGGAUCCAGUUUCCUGAUGAUCUUGAUGAUACCAUUCUUGGAAUUCAAUGUGAGACACCAGAUCCUGAGAGUCCUAGUUCAAGGCCAAGUUCUCAGUCUCAAAUUCCUUGCUGUGGAGCUGGGCUCCAUCUGCCUCCAGCGACCUGCCUAGUGUGAUCGCGCUGCGUGGGUAAGUGUCGCUCAUUCUGGAGCA